rnacentral:lncRNA from 1 species
UUAGGUUUAGCGUACUUAAAGAGCAUAAGCCUGACAAAUUAUGCAAUCUGAAACCAGUGGAAUUGGAACUUCUUCUAGGAAACCACCACGAGGCAGAUGGUGGUCCCUUACAUCCCUCCAAAGAUAAUAUCACAAGGUUUCUCGACAAAGACAAAGAGGAGGGUAGUUCUCUUAGUGCAGUUCCAUCUGCAUAAAGUUCCUUUAACAUUUCUAAGUUCCCAAAGUUCUCCAGAAAUUGUUCAAAUUUUGAGCAGCCCGAAAGAAUCAAUAUUUCAAGGGAUUUCAAGUCAUAAGGGCCGCUUGGAAGACUCUUGAGCAUUUUGCAGUUUUUCAAACUCAAAAAUUUGAGAUUCUUCAAAUCUCUAAGUGAUGGGUGAACCUUACAUAGAGACACACAAUCUUCUAAAACUAACCGUUCCAAGUUGGUGACUCUUGAGAGAUUUGGGGUUUCUAUUAAGUACUUAGAGUGACUAAGAUCCAUGCGUUUCAACUUUUCAAGAACCUGCCAUAAAAGAGAUUCGAUUUAAAAUUAGCUUUCAUACACAUUAUACACUCUUUAAAGAAAAAUGACAUGAGUAGAUCACAAUCAUACCUUGAUUCCUUUCCAAAGUUGUUCAAUGCGGCUACAAGGCAUGCUGAGGUGAACAAGAUUCUUUGCAUUGAAAUCAUUAGGCAAUGAUUUCAAGGAGUAUCCAUACAAAUCUAAGUACCUCAAUUCAUCGUAACAAAAUUUAAAAUUCGAAGAGAAACGAACUUUAAAAUUCUCCUUCAUAAAGGUAUCUUCAGAGUUUCUUGAAAUUUUGUCAGAUUGAUAGACUUUGAGCAAUCUAAGUUUACUCAUCCCUGCAAAGGCUUGUGUGGUAAAGUCUAUUGUCUCUUGUAAAUGAAACAAGUUGAGGAAUAUGCCUUCAAUUUUUUCACUUCCCUACAAAUCAAGAAAGAGAUUAAGUUAAAAGCAUGCAAAGUGCAUAAAAAUUUCUAUAAUUUUAUCCACAUAUGACCAGUUAAGCCAAAAUAAUCAUUAAUUUAUAAUCUUAAACUUUGGUAAAUAAAAUAAAUUUCAUAUUCUUUUUUCUCUUACCGUAUUUUUUUUCAAUACAUCAUAGAUAUCUUCAUGGAAUAACAAUCUGCUACGUUUGCCGAGCUCUUGAAGAGAUUGUUGGCGAACAAUUUCCAAACCCAUUUCUUGUAUUAAGUCAUGCAUCUGAAACUUAUUUCCAUAAAUACUUAUCAAAGAUUUAUCAAUGAGAGACCUUAUUCCACAUAAUGGGAAAAAGCCACAACCGUCCAAUAUUUCAAUUACAUAAUCUUUAUCUUCUCCUUUAAAGAAACAUGCAAUAUCCAAAAAUAUAUUCUUCUCUUUAUCAUCUAACCCAUCGUAACUGAUUCUAAGUACUUCCUCAAUUUUCUUAUUAAGAGUACUUUUCAGUUUGUCUAAUUGAUUUCUUGAUUCUUCUUUGCUCAUGCUAAAUAAAAUAGGACGUAAAACUUUCAAAGCCAAUGGAAGGCCUUGAGCAUAACCUAUCAUUGAUGUUGAAAGCUCCAUGAAAUCACCUCGAAGAAGUUCAUGUUUUAACGAAUGACAUUUAAUGAACUCAUAAGCUUCAUCCGAAUUAAAUUUUGGGACCUCAUAAUAAUCAACACCAUGUGAAAUUAAACAUUUAUCUCUAGCCGUUAUAAUAAUUCUACUUCCUCGACCAAACCAAUCCUGAUUUCCAAUUAAGCAUUCAAAUAUUGUUGGGUCAUUCACAUUGUCGAGAACAACAAGGACCUUUUUUGAAUGGAGUCUAGCCUUUAUAGAUGUGAGUCCUUUCAUAUUUAGAUCUUUUUCCUCCAAUAGGCUAGAAAGAAAUAUUUGUUGUAAUUUGAUUAAUCCCUCAUUAGCCAAAACCUUUCCAACAUCUUCCAAAAAAGAGUGUGCUUCAAAUUGUCUUGAGAUUUCAUUGUAAAGAGCUCUAGCAAGGGUUGUUUUCCCUAUUCCGCCCAUGCCCCAAAUUCCUAUCAUACCAACAUCAUCCGAUUCCAAACGUAAUCGCAUUUUUAUUUCUUGUAUUCGAGCAUCUAUUCCAACCAGUUUCUCAGUAUCACCACUACAUAUAUUUAACAAUUUAUUCAAAACAUGCUUAACGAUUUCCUUGAUUAGUAGAGGCUCAUUCCUGUCAUAUUUGAAGCAUAAACACAUAAUAAGUCUAAGUGUUCAUAAAAAGAUGAUAAAAAUAAAACAAAUAGGAGAAGAUUUGUCAAGAUAUAGUUGGUCUUAUAACUAAGGUUAUAGAAGACUAAUAAAAAAGUUACGAAUUCUAUAAACAUGGUCCUUAAAUCGGAUAAUUAAUAUUAAUAUGGAAUUCUUAUACCCUUUGUAUUUUAAUAAAUAUUAGAUGAAUUAAUAAUAAGAGCAUUAAAUUGGAAAUGCUAAAAAUUAAAAAUAAAAAUAAGAGUGAAAAGGCUUUAGAUAAUUACUUAUUCCUUGAUUCCCAACCAGAUAAAUUUGCAACUUGAGUGAGAGCAUCCUUCCAAAUCUGCACCCUCUCCAUAUUCUCCGUCAAAUUCUUCUCAUGUUCAGCUAAGGCUGCUCCAAAUUUUCCCCUAUGAUUUCUCACAUCUGAGGGAUCCACAUUAUAGAAAAUUGGGAGAACCCUCUGUCCCCUGGUUUUCAUGCACUCUAGUAUCUUUGCAAGCUCCUCCAGACACCAUUUAGAAGAUGCAUAAUUUUCUGAUAAAACAAUGAUGGAAAACAUGGAGUUCUCAAUAGCUGUAACAAGGGCAGGAGAUAUGACCCGGCCUCUCUCAAGCUUGUCAUCAUCUAUGAAAGUGUUGAUUCCUUUAGUGCGCAACUCCUGAUAGAGAUGGGCAGUGAAGUUAUUGCGGGUGUCUUCUCCUCUAAAGCUCAAGAACACAUCAUAGCUCCCUUGAGAAGAAGAAGCAGAACAAGAAGAAGCAAAAGCCAUUGCAGCAGUACUAGAGACCCAAAGUCUGAGAUAUGAGUCCUGAAUUCUAAAUUAUCCUGUAGGAAAGAAAAAGUCCCACAAUUGAUUUAUACAAUUCCAAAAACUCCAUCAACAAAAAGAAAGAAAUUCUGAGAGAUAAUGUUAUAAACUACAAUAGAAUAAUAAAGCUAAAUUUGCUUAAUUGCAAAUCUGAAAUGAAACCAUAGCUAUAAGUGAAGAAUACAGCUGUGAGAAAUCAGAACAAGAGAAUAACCAAUAAUAAUAACUAUACACAGUGACAAGUGAUGGUGAUGUUGUUGAUGUAAUUGGAGCCAAGUCUCACAGCAAAACUUGGGAGUAUUUUGGGCAAAGAAGUGCUUCUGCUGCCUGGAUUGUGUACGAGGAGUGUUAGCUGUUUGUAUCAUCAACAGACAUGAAAAAAUAGCAAAAAUUGAAGAAUACACCUGUGAGAUCCGACCAAGAGACUGAGGGAUAAUAAAUAAAUUCAGUCCUCAACCAAAACUUACAGUAUUAUUCUGGAAAAAUAAGUGUUUCCGCUUCUUGUAGUAGGAGAAGCAGAAGGAAUGCAGAACAAAGGAUAGAAGUAAAGAAGGAAACCGCGUUAGACCAGUAGAUCAGUUGGAAGAAAUGCUUUGUGGGGUUUGCUUCUCCCAACACCUAUUGGCGUGAUACGUAAUCUCUGGGGGCAUGCCGUGUGAAAGUGUAAUGGAAGGAAACCACGUUAGACCAGCAGAGAAGGAAACCGCGUUAGAACAGUAGAGAUUGAAACCGCGCUAGACCAGUAGGUCAGUUGAAAGUAAAUGCUUUAUGGGGUUUGCUUCAAACAACUUCGGACAUGAUGCGUAAUUUCUGUGGGCAUGCCGUGAAAUGUAAUAGCAAUGUGUGGUGGAUGUUGUAAGCCUUCACACAACAUGUAGUGGAAAAUUAAUAAAAUUUAAUAUAAGACUGUUUAAAUCAUCAUGUAUUUUUCACAUAUGUUUUUGCCUUUUGGGGAGUAUGUCCAGCUAUAAUAAUUAAUACUAAUUUAUUAUACCGAAAUAAUUAAAUUAUUUUUGAGAUCUCAAAUUUUCUUAAUCUAAGAAGCAAAUUAUAUUUAUCUGUUAAGCUUGAAAUAAUAUUUUUAACAUUUAGAAUCUUUAGUAUCAACAUUAAAUUAAGUACUUGGUUCUAAAAUAUGUCAAGCAUCAUUUUUGGCAUUAUUUGUCAAGAAAAAAACGAGUAGGAAAACAAGUGAAUAGAAUCGAGAGACGUAAGAAGAGUUAACAUUACCCACCACUUAAUUAAUAAAGGAGAUGUGUGAAGGCUUACAACAUCCACCACACAUUGCUAUUACAUUUAGUCAACACACAACACCCGGGUUCACACUCAUGGGUAGCGUGUGGCCCAACUCAACUUGGAGAGGAAGAAGCCUUUACAUGGACCAUUCAAGUGGAAUUUAAACUUUACAUAUAUAUCAUUAAUAAAAAAUCAUUAUGCAUUCAAGUGAAAUUGUGAUGUUUCCUCUAGGCAUUUUGGGAAUAGUUUAAAAUUUUUUUCGAUAGUCGGCACCAGAAAAAUGCACGACAAAGGUAAACUCUUCAACCUCAUGUUUGACCUACAAGGUGGGCUUAAGCCAAACCUACACGGCAAGGCAUGGAAGCCUUACAUGCUACCAUAGUUGCUACAGAUACCCUAGUGGACUACGAGGUGGGCACUUCUUCCUCUAUUAGUGUCGUCCGAUAUUUUCACGUGCAUUCAUUCCCACUCUAACAAAUUUUAUAAAUAUUAGAAUGUCAUUUUUUUUUUUUUUUUUUAAAAUACAAACAAAAUAAGAAAAAUAAACCUUAAAUGUAACUCUUAAAAAAAAUGACAAAUCCAUGAAAACUAAGUUGAAUCCAAGGGUUUGAAAAGUACAAUGAAGAACCAUAGCACUCGUCUAAACUAAAAGUUAGAUCUCUACAAAAUAAAUUGAAAUAAUUAUAAAAAUUAAUAAAUAAAUCAAUGGAUACCUUGAAUUAAAAUAUAUAUAUCAAAACAUGACAUUCAAUAAGCAAUAAUCACAAAAAAAUUGGAGAACAUACCUUUAUAAUUUAUUAAUUUAUUAAACGCUUCCAUAAAACAAAAAAAUUAGUACACAACCAAUAAUGUCAUUACAUAUACAACAUGCAUUCCACACAAGAUUAUUAAGGAGGGCCAUUAACACAUAAUAUUUUAAGCAUGUGACCAUUUUUACAUCAUGAACAACUACAUAAAUAUAUGAUUAAAAUACAAGCACUAAUAUUCAUGGAUGUUUAAAAAUUUAGGCACAAUAUCAUUCAUUCGUGGAUGGCAACUUUACUCACAUUAAAAUUAUUUUAUUCCAUUUAAAACACCAUUACUUAGCAUUAAAAGCAACUAAAAAACACUACUACUAUAACCAAUUGUGUAUUAUUCACCACGACUGCCAUUAUUUCAUAAUAGUAAUCUAGGUAUUUUCGAAAUUAACAAGAAUUUAAAGAAAAUCACGAACCUAAUAUAUAAUUUAAUUAAGCUACUAUAGAUGAUCAAAAAGUUUCUAAAUCCUAGAUUCUAAAAUACCUAAAUCAGCUCUGAUAAGCCAAAGAUAGAGGAAGUGGUUAUAGAUCCCACGUGAUAGUCUUUACUUGCUUUCUGUUUCCUUUAUUUGUGUUGUUCUGUUGUAACAACUUCUUUCUAGAAGCUCUUGUUAGCUGUACUUUCUAUAUGACAGCUAUCUCUACAACUGUCUUUACUUCUUGUAAUAGAGUUUCUUGAACAAUAUAUAAACUCUCUUUCACUCUCGUUUCUCCUACGAAGAGAACAGAGUUUUGCCUUCUCAAAUUCUAACUUGGUAUCAGAGCCUCUCGAUCAAAGGUGUGAGUAUUCUCCUUUUUUUUUUCUCCUCUUUUUUCUCAGUUUUCCAUCUCUUUCCUUAAGAUCCAAUCAUGGCUUCCGCUUCCACUCAAUCCUUUUCAUCCUCUGGCUCGAUUGGAUCUGGACAAAGCACUACAAUGGCGUCCCAUCCUUCUUAUCAGAUGCUCAAUCAUACUCUACCUGUGAAACUUGAUCGGACUAAUUACAUUAUGUGGAAAUCUCAGAUUGAUAAUGUUGAUUUUGCCAAUGGAUUUGAAGAUUUCAUAGACGAAUCUUCCAUAUGUCCAGAUAAAGAACUCAAUUCAGGAUUGAUCAAUCCUGCCUUUGUUGCUUGGAGAAGACAAGAUCGAACGAUCCUCAGUUGGCUCUACUCGUCUCUCACACCAGCGAUCAUGGCACAAAUCAUUGGUCACAACUCUUCUCACUCUGCUUGGAAUGCAUUGGAGAAAACCUUCUCAUCUUCCUCCAGAGCCAGAAUUAUGCAGCUAAGGCUCGAGUUACAGUCAACCAAGAAAGGUUCUCUGUCUAUGAUCGAUUAUAUCAUGAAGGUUAAAGGAGCUGCAGAUAGUCUAGCAGCAAUUGGAGAACCUGUCUCAGAACAAGACCAGGUUAUGAAUCUCCUCGGUGGACUUGGAUCCAACUAUAAUGCAGUUGUAACUGCUAUUAAUAUUAGAGAUGACAAGAUCUCUAUUGAAGCUGUUCACAGUAUGCGUCUUGCGUUUGAACAUCGCCUUGAGCAACAAAGCUCGAUUGAACAAUUCUCUCUUAUAUCAGCCAAUUAUGCCUCUUCAUCUAAUAGCAGAGGUGGUGGAAGGAGGUAUAAUGGCGGUCGAGGACAGAAUCAUACCCCAAACAUCAGCAACUAUACCUACAGAGGUCGUGGUCGAGGGGGUCGAUAUGGCCAAAAUGGGAGGCACAAUUCCAACAGUUCUGAGAAGCCACAAUGCCAGUUGUGUGGCAAGUUUGGUCAUACCGUUCAGAUCUGUUAUCACAGAUUUGAUAUCUCCUAUCAAAGCUCUUAGAGCAGUAAUACUUCUCCCUCAAAUGCUGGUAAUCCAAACUCUAUACCUGCUAUGGUUGCCUCUUCUAAUAAUCUUGCAGAUGACACUUGGUAUCUUGACUCUGGAGCCAGUCAUCAUCUGACUCAGAGUGUGGCCAAUCUGACCAGUUCUUCACCAUACACGGGCACAGAUAAGGUGACAAUUGGUAAUGGUAAGCACCUAUCCAUUUCCAACACUGGUUCUCAUCGUUUACUUUCUGAUUCACGUUCUUUUCAUCUCAAAAAGGUGUUUCAUGUCCCCUUUAUAUCAGCAAACUUGAUAAGUGUUGCUAAAUUCUGCUCAGACAAUAAUGCCUUAAUUGAGUUUUGGUCUAAUAGUUUCUUUGUGAAGGAUCUACAUACGAAGAAGGUGCUUGCUCAAGGCAAGCUUGAGAAUGGACUUUACCGAUUCCCAGUUUUGAACAGCAAGAAAGUAGCCUUUGUUGGUGCUACUAAUUCUUCUACUUUUUAGUCUCAUAAUUCCAGUAUCUUUGAUAAUAAAGUGAAGUUAUGGCAUCAUGGACUAGGCCAUGCUUCUGCUGACACUGUAACCCAAAUUAUGCAGAGUUGUAAUGUCUCUUUUGAAAAGAAUCAAAAUACUGUUUGUUCUACUGUUUGCUCUUCUUGUCAGCUUGCUAAAAGUCACAGAUUACCUACUCAUCUUUCACUUUCUUGUGCUUCCAAACCUUUGGAACUUGUUCACACUGACCUUUGGGGACCUGCCUCAGUCAAGUCUACCUCUGGUGCUAGAUAUUUCAUCUUGUUUCUAAAUGACUACUCACAGUACACCUGGUUCUAUCCUCUUCAAACAAAAGACCAAGCCCUUCCUGCUUUUAAGAAGUUCAAACUCCAAGUAGAAAAUCAAUUUGAUGCUAAAAUCAAAUGCCUACAGUCUGAUAAUGGUGGCGAGUUCAGAUCCUUCAAGACGUUUCUUCAGCAAACAGGCAUUUUUCAUCGGUUUUCUUGCCCGUAUAACUCAGCUCAAAAUGGGAGAGUUGAACGAAAGCAUAGGCAUGUUGUUGAAACCGGGUUGGCCUUGUUGGCUCAUGCCUCCUUACCAAUGGAAUUCUGGCAAUAUGCCUUCCAGACAGCUACAUUUCUCAUCAAUAGAAUGCCAAGUAAGGUACUCCAGAAUAACUCCCCUUAUUUCACACUUUUUCAAAAGGUUCCGAAUUACAAGUCCCUUAGAGUCUUUGGCUGUUUGUGUUACCCAUUCAUCCGUCCUUGCAACAGUCACAAACUUCAAUAUCGUUCUGUUCAAAGUCUAUUUCUUGGUUAUAGUCUUCAUAACAAAGGAUUUUUGUGUCUUGACUUUCUGACUGGACGAGUUUACAUCACUCCUCAUGUUGUUUUUGAUGAGGGACAAUUUCCUCUAGCUAAAACUCACCCUCUCUCCCCAACCAAAGACACUUCAACAGAUACUUUAACUCCAGCCAUUAUAACUUCCUUUCCUUUUCUAACCUUCUGUUCUAAUGCAGCCACACAUCUUCACUUUCUUCCUCUCCUUCCACGAGUGAAGCUUCUGAUUCUGUGAGUAGUCCUACUGUUACUCCUGCCUCUAGUACCUUACCCGAAGCUAUAUAUGAGGAUCAACCUCCUUCUCCUUCCCCUGCUCCACGCAUGACAACAAGGCUAAUGCGAGGUAUAACCAAGAAGAAGACCAUUCUUAAUCUCUCUGUUGUAAAGAUCUCAGAACCGUAUACACUCAAACAAGCUCUCAAGGAUCCAAAUUGGAUUCAAGCUAUGGAUUUAGAAAUUGCUGCUCUUCAUCGGAAUCAAACUUGGGAUCUUGUUGAACAGCCUUCUGAAGUUAAUCUAAUAGGCUGUAAGUGGGUAUACAAGUUGAAACACAAGCCAGAUGGGAGCAUAGAGAGAUAUAAAGCCCAACUUGUGGCUAAGGGGUAUAACCAAACUCAUGGUCUUGAUUAUUUUGAGACCUUUAGUCCGGUGGUUAAGGCUGCAACCAUUCGAAUCAUACUAACUAUGGCUCUCAGUUUUCAAUGGGAAAUUAGGCAGCUUGAUGUUCACAAUGCUUUUCUCAAUGGUGAGUUAGAAGAGCAAGUCUACAUGUCUCAACCUCCUGGCUACUUGGAUACUACAUUCCCAACCAAAGUGUGUCGAUUGAAGAAGGCUUUAUAUGGUUUGAAACAAGCACCACGAGCCUGGUUUCAACGACUCAGUUCUGCCCUUAUACAAUGGGGAUUCAGCAACUCUAGAACUGAUAGUUCUAUGUUUCUACACUUUGGUGAGUCUACUACUUUGAUUGUUCUUGUCUAUGUUGAUGAUAUAAUCAUCACUGGCUGCUCCUCAACACAGAUUUCCUCACUCAUUGCUAAGCUUGAUUCUAUUUUUACUUUGAGAGAUUUGGGACAGCUAUCAUACUUCCUCGGUAUAGAAGUCUCUUACCAUGAAGGCUCUAUGAAUUUAAGCCAAACCAAAUACGUUUCUGAUAUGCUUCAUCGAACUGAAAUGUUUGAUACCAAACCAGCAAAAACACCCGGAGCUGUUGGGAAGAAUUUGUCCAAGUUUGAUGGUGAUCCUAUGGACGAAGUCACUCAAUAUCGAAGUGUGGUAGGGGCACUUCAGUAUCUAACAAUAACAAGGCUUGAUAUAGCUUUUGCAGUUAAUAAGGCAUGUCAAUUCAUGCAACAGCCUACCUCAGCUCAUUGGCUUUCAGUCAAAAGAAUCCUUCGUUAUCUUCAAGGAACAAUGCAAGAUGGGUUAUUACUGAGUCCUUCAACCAAUUUGACAAUCAAAGGCUUCUCAGAUGCAAAUUGGGGUGCUCAACUUGAUGAUAGGCGAAGUUCCAAUGGCUAUUUGGUGUAUCUGGGAGGUAACUUAGUCUCUUGGUCCUCUACCAAACAAAAGGUGGUGUCUCACAGCAGUGCCGAGUCUGAAUAUUGUGGCCUUGCCUUAGCUACUGCAGAAAUUAUAUGGAUGCAAGCCUUGUUGCAAGAGUUAUGUGUUCCUAUACCUGCGAUUCCCCUGCUCUGGUAUGAUAAUAUUAGUGCUUAUCAUAUGGCAAAGAACCCUGUGUUUCAUGCUAGAACGAAGCACAUUGAAAUAGAUCUUCACUUCAUCCGAGAUCAAGUCAUACGAGGCAAGAUACAAUUGCAUUUUGUUCCUACUGAAGAUCAGCCAGCUGAUCUUUUGACUAAGCAUCUUACAAGUUCUCGGUUCUUGUCUCUCAAGUCAUAGCUUUGCAUAGCUCCAAGACCCUUUCACUUGAGGGGGGAUGAUAAGCCAAAGAUAGAGGAAGUGGUUACAGAUCCCACGUGAUAGUCUUUACUUGCUUUCUGUUUCCUUUAUUUGUGUUGUUCUGUUGUAACAACUUCUUUCUAGAAGCUCUUGUGAGCUGUACUUUCUAAUAUGACAGUUAUCUCUACAGUUGUCUUUACUUCUUGUAAUAGAGUUUCUUGAACAAUAUAUAAACUCUCUUUCACUCUUGUUUCUCCUACGAAGAGAACAGAGUUUUGCCUUCUCAAAUUCUAACUAGCUCUCAACGAACUGAAACUCAAAAGAAACAAUUUGGAAUCAUGUGACUAUUACAUCAAGAUAGAUCAAUGAAAACUUUGUCAAAAAUAAUGUUUCAAGGUUCCAAAAGAGUGAUAAGAAUGUGCAAAAAAAAAAAAAGAAUCCACAAAUAAUUAAUCCUAAUGUUUCAAGAUUAUCAGAGCAAUACAGAUCAUAAUAAACGAACAAAUGCAAUCAAUAAAACCUCAAAAUAGGCUGAUCUAGUUAUUAGAAAAAGAAUCACCAGAAAAGAAAUGAUCAAGUUCAUCAUAGAAAAACACAGACCGCAAAAAAUCAUCUGUAUUCCAAGGCAACGAUCAUAAAAUAAACGAACAAAAUACAAUCACCUGCUUUCCAGUAAUCUGAUCCAAAUCGACAUAUAAGGAUUACUAGAAAUAACAGCUUAGAAUCCUACAGAAAUGACCAGAAUCAAGGUAGAAAAUACAGAGACCACACAAAAAUUCAUUCCAAAAUUCCAAAAAAAAAAAAAAAAACAAGAACCAUAAAAACAGAGAAUCAUAUGCUUGAUUUUCGUGAAUUCAUGAAGAAAUUUAAAGAGAUUAGAACCUGAAAAGAAAAUGCAGUAUGCAAAAUCCUAUAGCCUUAAGCCCCAUGGCAUGACAAUUUCUGCUGGAGCUCUCAAUCUCCACUUCCUUCUUCCGAAACUCUAAGCUUUCCUUCUCUCUCCCUUUUCUCUCAAGUUCUUUCUCAAAAGAAAUGAAGAAUCUCACAGUCAAAAAGAAUCGCUACUCUUAACAGAGGCGGUUUCUCCUGUUUUUAUACCGCCUCUGGAAACCUCUCGAAAACAGGUCGGUGAUCCCCUCACCUCACGUGACCUCACUACUUCAACUCAAUGCAAACAUCAUGAUUCUCAAAAACCGGCACCACCUAUUUUCCGGCCAAACAGGCCUUAACUUCAACCAAUUCUCCCGCCCCUCAGCUACUUCUAUGAGACUUAGAAUGCAUAAUACCCCCAAAACUUAGAGAUGUCAAGAAAGAAAAGGACCUCAAACUUAAUAAAAUAAUAAAGAAUAAUUAACACACACCUCUUGAAAAUGGUUGUAACUUAGGAAUGCCAAUCAAAAUAUAAACUACAAUGCAAUAAAAAGAGGUGACAAUAUGCGCGGCCCCUGCACCUCAGAAAUGAGAACGCUCGACGCUAAGAGCCACUACGUCGUUUCAUGGCCAGGCCGCAAGCUAGUGGUUGUACAGAUCUUCGUCGACAGCUGGACAGAACCAGAACGGAGACGUGGUAUUAUUGGUGAACACAUUGGAAAUGGGUUUCGGUGGAGCUGCUAAUGGUGCGCGGUUGAAGAGGACAACGUGUUAGUUAUCGUCGGCAGUGUGGAGAGGCGUUCGGGACUGAGGUAGGAGCUCUGAACCUGAAGACAGCUCCGGAAAGGCACGUGAGGAGGAAAACUGAACCUGAAGACAACUCCAGCUAGGUGCAUGAGGAGGAGAAGAAGAUGGGUAUGGGGUGUUUGAUGGCUUGCAUGCAGGAGGUAAGGCAGCUGGUAGACCGGUUGGUGUAACUUUGGCAGCCCAAAAGAGAGUAUGGCUAUAGCAGGGAAGGGCGAUUGAUGGGAGCUGCGUCAAGGUGGUCUUAGGAUGGAGUUUGGGCAGAAGAAAAGCAAUGAAGGACAGCUGGAGGAUGGCUAACGCAGUGUCGCUAGAAUGCUAGGAUAGUGGGUUUGAUAUGAAAGGUUGCUAGGGCGGCUGAUGGUAUGCGUGUAGAGGUGGUCUUGGGCAGCAAAACUGGGCUGUAGCAUGGCUGGCUGUAGGGGUCUCCAAAAAGUCCGCGGCCCGCGGCCCGCUUUAGGCCCGGCCCGUAGGCCCGCCUUUAAUUUUUUUUAAAAAAAUAAUAUACUAUAUUUUUAUAUAUAUAUAUAUAACUAAAUCAUUUAAUAAGCACAAAAGAAAUGUAGCUCAGUUGGUUAGAGCCUUGAAAUUUAAGCUUGAGGGGAGGGGUUCAAAUCCCCCCCUCUUCCUUCCUUUAUUUAAAAGCCAUUUUGGCUUAUUUAAAAAAGCCCGCGGGCUCAUAGGCCGGGCUGCGGGCCUAGCAUUUUAGCUCGGCCCGGCCCGGCCCGAGCUGGGCCGCGGGCCUCCUAUUUACGGCCUGGCCCGCUCGUUGGAGACCCUUGGCUGGCUGCAAGGUUGUAUUUUACAGCUAUAUGUAUCUAGGGUAAUAGGGUUAUGGGCUGGUACGAGUGUGUAAUUUGGUUGAUCAGUUCUGAGACAGUCCAAGUAGCGAGCUUUGACUCAAAACAAUACGUUUUAAAAAAAAAAAAAUUCAUAAAGUAUCCAUAUUUUAAAAAUAAUGUUCAUGUGCCACGUAGAUUAUCACGUCAUAAAAGAUUUUACUUUUUAAAAAUUUAAAUCUACAUCACGUAGAUUACCAUGUCAUAAAACUGUAGUUGAUAAUCAAUCACGGUUUUACUUUUUAAAAAUUUAAAACCGUAGUUGGUGACUAAGGCUUUAACUAUUUUUAAAAACAAUCAAAAUCGUAGUCACCAACUACGUCUUUAACUUUAAUUUUAUAUAUAAAUAUAUAUUUAUAUAUAUAUUUAACUUUAAUUUUUUUAAAUAAAAUAUUAUAUUAUUUUGAUUUUAUAUUGAUUAAAAAUAUGUAAGUGGUGUAAUAAAAAUAUUUAAUUUUAAUUGAUCUCAUUAUUUAAAAAAUAGUAAUAUAUGAAAUUAAAUAAUUGAGGUCUUCAAUUUGAUAUAAAAAUAUAUUUUGAUAAUUUUAUUAAAAUAUUUGGCACUACACUCAAUAUAAAUAUAAUUAGUUAUAAAUAUACUAUUUUAUACCCUCAUAAUGAAGAACAUUAUAUUAUUUUGCAAAUUUGUGUAAAAAUUAAAGUCAAUUUAUGCACUUGUACAAAAUAUAAUAUAACUUCAAGUAGGUAAAUAAUUGGAAAAUUACUUAAAUACAACAAUUUUUUUUUUUUUUUUCCAUUUUUCUCCUUUCAAAAUGGGAUCAAAAUGGAAUGGAAAGGCUUAAAAUGUUAAACUUAAAAUGCCAACCUAAAAGAAUUUGUUUUUCCACUUCUUAAAAUAUAGAAUUGUAGAAAAAAAUACCUUUGUUUUUCCAAUCAAUUCACUAUUUAGUUUAAUUGUUUUGGUAAAUAGAUGAAAAUGCUUUUGGAAUAUUUUUGUAAAUUCAUUGAUAAUAAGAAAAAUGUUUCUUAUUGGGUACUAAUGGGAGUUUUGGGCAAAAAUGAUUUAUUUAAAACAGAAAAUUAAUAAAAUAAUUUUAUUCUCAAAAUAAUUUUCAAUGUGAUGUGUGUCGUAUUCAUGUAGGUAUUCACAUCACAAAAUUGUAAUUGGUAAUCAUGAUUUUUGAUUUUUUUUUUUUUUUAAAAUAGUCAAAAUGGUAGUUGGUGAUCAUAACUUUAAAUAUAAACCUAAAACCAAUUUUUUAAGUUCAAAUUUUAAAUCAUGUGAAUGUUCAAUUUUUUAAAAAUUAUUUUGAUUAGAAGUUUAGAUUGUAAAUUUUUUUUAAUACAUUAUUUUUUCUAUAUCAAUAUAGUGUUGUUGUAACUAAUUAGUUAUAAAUAUAAUUAGUUUAAAUUUAAACCUAAAACCAAUAUUUUAGAUUGUCAGAUUGCUAUAUGUAAGUGGUAUAUAUAUAUAUAUAUAUAUAUAUAAGUUCAAUUUAAGUUUAAAAUUUAUCAUAUUUUCAUUUGAAUAUAUAAUAAUUUGUUCAUAAUAAAAAAAAAGUUAACAAUAUAAUGCAAAUGAAAAUAAACACAAAAACUAAAAAACAAUCCUCAAUGAGUGCCACAUGAUGGGGUCUUCCUCUUUUUCUGCGGACGCCUAUGAUAAAGAGACAUCUCUGUGGAAUCUAUCUGUGCAAUCUGCCAUGUCUCAGUAUGUAUAGGUUGAGAUGGAGUUGAUGGAGGCAAGACUUGACGUCUACGUGGACCACGACGUCUCCUAGGUGGACAUACAUCUAGCUGUGUAACAUGUGUAAGGGUAUAAUGCAUGGUGGUCUCUAUGGGAAGACGUGUAGGUGAUGGUAAAGUGGUAGAUGGUGGGGUGAUCUCAGGUACAAUGAUAUCUGAUAUGGUAGCAUCUAGAAGAGAUGAUAUAGGAGAUGGAAGAAUGACAUCUGCUGUAAUGGUAGCUGGUGCAAUAACAUCUGGUAUAGUGGACUCGAGUAGAGAAGAUAUAAGUGAUGAUGGUGAGGUGACAUGUGGUGUAGUGGUCUCCUCGAGAGAAGGUAGAGGUGAUGGUAGACUAGUAGAUAGUGGGGUAGUCUCUGGUAUAGUGACAUCAGGUAUAGUGGCCUCUGUGGUAGGAAAUAUAGGUGAUGGUAGAGUGGUAUCUGAUACGACAUUCCCUAAGAGAGAAGGUCUAGGUGAAGGUGAUGGUAGGGGUGAAGGGGAAAGUGUGGAAGCCUCAGGUGCAAAUGGGGUAGAUGAUGUGGAUGGUGCUAACAUGGUCUCAGGUGGAUGCAUAGAUCGUCGAGGCUGUCAACCAACUCGCCCAUCAUCUCGUCUAUUACCUCUCCCUCGACCUCGAAUAGGCUGCAUCCUAACUGUAAUGGCUGACACAGGUGGGCUCAUGGAUGGGUAUGAUGAUGUAGGCAACUGACGGAGUGAAUGUAUGCAAUGCUCCUCUCCAAUAACAUGCAAAAUAUCAAUAGCAAUCCGAUGAAUGUCGCAUAAUGCACCUGAAGUAGGCCUAACAGAUCGACUAGCAAUCUCAACCAUACUAGUGAUCUAAAAUAAAUAAAUAAAUAAACGUUAAACAAACAAAAAAUGAUUUUUAAUUAAUUAUAAUUUAAUAAACCAUUUAUAAAUUAAAAAAUCUUACCAAUAACUGACUAGCUACUGCUGUACUAUGAUACCUCAUCUGAUCUCUAUGGAGAGGGAGUGUGAUCAAAUGUCGUGUAAUACAUCGGUACCACUCCAUAUAUGGAUCAUGAAACUGCAUAACACCCACCAUAGGUGGUGCAGUCGCAAUACGCUCCUCACGACUACCCUAUAAGGUAAUAUACUGUGCAUGGAAUGCUCCCCAAUCAUACUUAUGUCGUCCUCGCUUAUCCACAGAAUGGAGGUCUAACUUUAUGGAACAAGAUGGAGGUAUCCCUUGUUGAAGGCCAAACUGUCGCAGCACUCUCUCCGGUCGAUGCCACUCGACAAUGUCAAAGCAACUAAGAGGUGACAUCGUCCGCCAAAUCUCCUAGUCUGCUAGAGAUAUCGCCGAAAGAUGGGCAACUAAGUCUCCCAUGUAAGACUCCCAUAAAACCUGUUAAAAUCAACAUUUGACAUUAAUACUGAGUACAGGUUUAUAUGGUUAACAAUAGCACAUUACAUCUUAUGUGUACCUGGUCAUGGGUCUGUGCAUCUAACUGGUCUCGAUAAAAUGUCAACACACAUGAUGGGUUUUGAACCCAUGAUAAAGGUACUCUCCACCUACAUCCUAACGGAUCAGCUGGUAAACCCUCGUGUAACAAUGCCUCAUCCCAUAAUCCGUGGUCUAACUGCUUAGCUGGUAAAUCAUCGGUUGCAUCAUGCUCUAAAUGCUGGGCUGCUGGAGGGGCUGGUGGUCGACCAAAAUCUGGGCGACCCACGUGGAGUCUCUCCCAAGACCACAAUUGGAAAAAAAUGUAACAUUAAAAUUUUACUUAAAUUAUAAACUUGAAGCAACUAGAAAUUUUAAUCUAAUGUGAAUAAUUAAUUAUACCUAUAAUAGUGUGACACAUCCAGCAAUAUCGGUGGCACCGUCCAAACUCGCUCAACACAACUCCCUAUAUAGGUGUGUUAAUACUGCACUACCCCAACUAUACAUAGAUGUUUGAGUCAAGUCUCUAAGUAGUGGGAGAUAACACAUAUGGAUGUGGGUACCCUUCUUGUCUGUAAAUAGCGCUAAACCUAUGAGUCCUAAUAUGAAAGCUCGUGCAUACCGCUCUAAUGUGGCAUCAUCUAAAUCAACUGGUGGCUGAGAGAACUGGUGACAUAGCCAUCGUGUCGAUAUCGCUGAUUCUUUAAUCUCAGAUAUAAGGGGAGUCACUCCUAAAAGUUCAUAACAUAGCAGUGACCAAUCUAUGUCACAUGUGCCAGUGAUGGGAAGCCCAUGAAUACGAAGUCCUAAUAUGACAACAACAUCCUGUAAAGUAAUGGUCAUCUCCCCAACAGGUAAGUGACAUGUGUGUGUCUUAGGACGUCAUCUCUCAACUAGACUAGUGAUCAAUCCCUAAUCUAGUGUAAUGUAUCCAAUAAGGUAUACACCAUAAAAUCCAGAUCGAAUAAUAUAAGGUCGAAGACGAGAAUCCAUCUCCCACUCCCGCAUAAACCUAGAUAUAUGUUGUCGACAAGUCAAGACUGAAGCAAGCUGUAAAAAUAGAAAUAUAUCAAUUAGAUAAUAAACUGCAAAAUUUUCCAUUAUUUAAUGAGAUAUUAUGUGUUUGCAUAUACAUACCUGGCCAGAGUCAACUAAAUGAGACAUGUGUCUAUCUUGUAGAACCAAAACAGACGUAUCUAAUGGAUAUGGAUCAGAACUAUGUCCUCUAUACUCUAUAUCUGUAACAAAAUUGUGAAGAUAAAUAAACAAUACUUAUUCUUUAAAAAAAAAAUUAUUUCUAAUGGAAUUUUUUAAAAAAUUUAUGGAGUUUUCCCUAUAUUAAGUAUAUAUCAAUUUUAUAAAUUUAAGUACAUCAAUUUAUUUAUGACCAAUAAACAAGUCAUAUUAGUCUAAAUUAAAAAUAGAGAUACAAAUACAAUUGGGCAUUUUGUUAACAUUUUUAAUAGAAAAUUUCAAAAUUUUGACAAAGUAUCCCCUAUAAUAUGGACAUUAUUCCAAAUACAAAUGACCUGAUUAUGCAAAUAACAUCAAUAUUUAUAAUCAAACCAAAGCCAAUAAUUGCAUAAAGGUAGUAUCAAAGUAGCUUACAUCACAAUAUCCAAGAAAAUUACAUGCAUAAAUCACAUAGUCUAAUCAAUUCUAUUACUGUUUUGACAAGAACGACGAUUGUGGCCACUUUGUUUGCAUAACUCACAUGUAAUAGAAGUCUUGCCCUCUCUAACAUCCAUUUCAUUAUGCAAACGACUCGAUUUAGGUCGUCCACUUUAUGCACGUUUUAUCGACUCAGAAGGCACGAUAAUCGGACCAUCAUAAGGAGGCCACUCAUAUACAUUAAAAAUAGGAUGGAACAAGGGUGCCCAAGAAUUAUAGUACGAUUGUGUACUGUAGUAGUGUUGAAUAAGUGGUCUAAAAUCAACUGAACGAAAAUGACAUGCUGCUAGAAUAUGGCUACAUGGGAAUCCAUAGAUGAGUGUUUUACCACAUGUGCAUGCAUACUCCUGUAAGUUGAUGCGAUAUGUUCGACCACGAGUUGAGCUACUCUUAGUACCCUUAUUAGUCUUCACAUGAAAGUGUCCUCGAAUGUGAUCAUAUAAAACAAUCUCAUGAGAUCCCGCCUUAACCACAUUUGCCUUAAUCUUAGCAUCAACAUAUAGAGUGUAUUCCUCAUUUGAAGCAAGUCGAUUAGCACCUUGUUCCCUUCUCACAACAAAGUAACUAUUUAGCCGAAAAAAUGUCAAUUGAACCAAAGCAGUUAUGGGUAAGCUACGAGCCCCUUUAAGCACACUAUUGAACACCUCCGACAUGUUUGUAGUCAUGAUGUCAUACCUUCGACCUCCGUCAUGAGAGAGCGCCCAUUUCUAAAAAAGGAUUGCUUCCAACCAUUGUUGUGCGACUGCAUUAAUCCUCCCAAUUGUGUUCAUAUGUUUAUUGAAUUUUUCAAUCUUGGUUGCUAAGGCUGCUCUGCACAUCAGAUUUUUCAAUAUUUUAUCCUUGAAUCGAGUCAUAAAAUUACUGGCAAGAUGACACAUACAAACCCUAUGAUAUGCGUAUGGCUCAGACCAACCAAGAUGAACAUCGCUCAUUGCAGCCAUAAUGCCUGGAUGUCGAUCUGAUAUAACACAAAGUCCCCUCCUAUGGGUUACUCUGGUUCUAAUACAUGUCAAAAACCAGCCUCAACUAUCAAUAUUCUCACCCUCUGUUAGGGCAAAAGCCAAUGGGAAUAACCGAUUAUUUCCAUCACAGCCUAUAGCAAUCAUUAAAGUGCCUUUAUACUUGCCAUACAAAUGUGUACCAUCAAUACUGAGUACAGGCCGACAAUGCUUGAAUCCUUCAAUAGAUGGAUGAAAUGUCUAAAAAACUUGCUGAAAUAUCUCUGUAUUCUCCAUAAUACCAGGAAAUGUUUUUGAAAUAACAACACAUCCUAGAUUUGCCUGCUUUAAGGCAAUGAAAAAAUGUGGCAGCUCUACAUAUCACUUAUAAAAAUCACCAAAUAAGUUUGUAAGAGCUUUAAGCUUCGCUUUAGAUGUCUUUUUGUAUGAUAUUUGGUAUCCGAAUUUCUCAACAAUACUUGCUUGAAUAGUAGCCACUAACAAUGUGAAUUGUGCCUUAAUCAUUCCUUGGAUAUGAGCAGCAAUCAAGUUGGAAUCUAAUUGUUGAUGGUCCCGAUUUAAGCAAGGAUUUAUACAUUUGUGCGGACCAUUGUAUUUAUUGAUUGCAAAUGAAGUUGUACAUUUUACAAGCAUAGCACGGAGUUUCCAUGGACAUUGAGAUUGCUUAGCCUUCUUGCAUCUUAAGACUAACAACUUUGUAGUUGACUCAACAACAACGUACUCUUGAUGUGCAGUAAUAGAGUACAACUUUGCAGCAUGUUGUAAAUUUGCUUUUGAAUUAAAAACUUGGCCAACCAUGAACUCUCCACCCGAGUUUCCAAUAUUAGUGUUCCCCUAUGGCGUCCAAUCACUUGAAACGGCAUUACCAAUGUUUUCUACAUUUUCAAACUACAAUGAUGGUGCCGAGUGAUACUGAACAGUCGAAAACUCUAUUGGGUCCUCAGGAUCUGGGUUAUUUGACAUAUCACAACAUUUCCCAUCCACAGAGACAUAUCUCCCUUGUUCAUCUUCCAUUGCUUUGUGAAGAGCUAAGAAAGAUGAAACAACAUUAACAUUAUUGUUUUCCUCAUCAAUAACAUCGAACACCCCAUCGCCAUCAUGUUGAAUAUCUUCUGCUCUCUCACUUUGAUCAUCACCUUCUUGGGAUUCACAUUCUUCUUCAUCUUCAUCUGCUCUACACUCAUAAGUCAUUGCAACAGGGGCACUACUAGGUCCACAACCAUACUCAAAUUCCUCAACAUUAUCAUUUUGUCCGAGUAAUAAUUGUGUGAAGUUACCCAAUAAUUGCCCUCUCACCUGUGGUUGUACUGGCACUUGCUCAAUAUACAAUUCAAUUUCGUCCAUUCCAAAUGUGUUUACCAAUUUCAACAUUUGAGAUAAACUAUUAUCAUCCCAUAUUGGACAAGGUUGGAACCUAUUUUCCCUUUUUAAAGGAUACUGACAUUUGAUGACUAAUUGAAAUUGUUUUUUGUCAAUGCCAGUUCUCGAGUAUAUCAUAGAUAACAAGUGUUCGUAGGUUGAACUAACAGGCACAUCCAAAGGCACAAUUACAGCUUCAUCCCCAAUAUACUUUACAUCUGUUUCUGUCCUCAACAUUUUUCCUUUAUAAAAGCAAAUCACAGGAACAAUAGAUUCAGACAUGAUUUACCUACAAAAAAUACAAUAUUAAAUGGUUUAAUAAUUAAUGAAAAUAAUAGCAAGAGAAAUUGCAUAUAAUCUUUUAACAUGCGAAUACACAAGUAUAUAAUAAAACACCUUCUUACGCAUUAGGGGGAAAAAUAUAAAUCACUUAAUAAUAAUAAUUUUUUUAUUUAAAUAGCUAUCUAUGAUACAAAUAUAAUCAUAGAUAAAUGUUUUAUAGAAGUUUAAUUUAAAACUUAGAUAGUGGGUUAUAAAUCAAUAAAUUUUGAGUUAAACAAUUACAAUAAUCUUAAAAUUAAAUAAAAAAUAAUCCAUCGAAUUUUUUUUAAUAAAAUAUCAUAUAUUAAAAUAAAAUUGAACAUUAUCAAGUAUUAAAUAAUAUAUAAUUUAAAUAAUUAUGUUAUUAUCUAUGAAUCACUUGAUAUUUGAUUAAAAAUAAAAGUAAAAAAAAAAUUAAAAACUCAAAAUCAAAUAAAAGUAACCCACCACAGAAAAAUAUAUUAAUAAAAUAUCAAAUAUACAAUUAUAAAAAAAAAAUCAUUUAUAUAUAUAUAUAUAUAUAUAUAUAUAUAUAUAUAUAUAUAUGAACAUUAUUUGAAUAUUAAAAAUGCAAACAAAUAAACAUUUUAUAAAUUUAUUUAAUAUUAAUUUUAAAUAUAGGGAAAAAAAUCAUUUAUAAAUUAAUAUUAAAUUUAAUUUUAAUUUAUAUCUAUUGAAUAUUAAUUUUAAUUUUAAUAAAAUUGAUGCCAACAUAAAAGUCGAUAUUUGAUUAAUGAAAAAAUGAAAUUAAUUAAAAAUAGAACAAAAUAUAUUAAUGAAAAAAAAUACUCGAAUUUUGAAUUCACUAGAAAUCAAUUUCGACAUUAAAAAAUCAAUAAGAUCUAUAAUUUCAAGUUAGGUUGAAGACCUUAAAAUUUCAUCUAAACUGAUAUUUAAUUUUACUUUAAAUUUAAAUCCAUUAAAAUCUCAAAUUAUGAAUCUUAAUUCCUUUGAUCAAUUAUUCACAAUUAAACUUAAUUUAUCUUUAACUAUCUUCUAAUAGAUCUUAUAAUGAAAAUACACAAAUUUUUGUUUGAUCUUUUAUACCGACAAAUUUUAAGAUAUAGGGCUUUGACUAAAAAAUCUCAACAAUGGGUAUGAACAUUUGGAUACAACAAAAUAGAAGGAAAAACUAUAGAAUAUUUAAUUAAACAUCAUUAAAAAAAAACAAAAAUAUUUUUAANNNNNNNNNNNNNNNNNNNNNNNNNNNNNNNNNNNNNNNNNNNNNNNNNNNNNNNNNNNNNNNNNNNNNNNNNNNNNNNNNNNNNNNNNNNNNNNNNNNNUAAACAUCAUUAAAAAAAAACAAAAAUAUUUUUAAUGAGAACUCUGUUUUUAUUUUUAUUUUUUUGCUAUUAUCUUUAUCUUUUGUUUCUUAUUCCCAAAUAUUUUUAUAAAAAUACACUACCAACAAAAUCAAAAUUUUAAUAUAAUUAUCUUUUAAGGUUAAUUUCACUCACAUCCCCCCAGGAUUUGGCUAAAUACACUUUAUCCCCAUUGAUUUGAAAUUUCAUUAAAUAGGAGGAGAGGUGACUAAAAAUAAUACUUAUUAUUAAUAAGAGAUAAGGUGACUGAAAAUAACAAAUGAGAAAAAUAAGGGAGAUAUUUGAUCAAAUUUUAAACCAAUAAGGAUUAAGUGCACUUAACCAAAACUUCUAAGAAAAUGAAUGAAAUUAACCCUUAUCUUUUAAGAAAGUUGAAAAUAUAAAUAAAUUAAUUAAAAUCAAAUGACUUGCUUUAAAGCAAAAUAGGAGUAUCAUAUAAGGAUUUCAUACCAACACUCAUAUCAUGUCAUGUCCAUACAGAAAUCCUUUUCAUCACUAGAUUCAUGAAGAUGCCCCAUUGUGAGGAAUAAGAAACAAUGGGAACCUAACAUCCAUAUCAUACCCCUAAAGUCAUGGAAGCCUCAAGUCUGAGGAAUUCAUUGAUUAAUUAAGUACUAUUAAUAAGCAUACACAAAUUUUUGUUUGAUCUUUUAUACCGACAAAUUUUAAGAUAUGGGGCUUUGACUAAAAAAUCUCAACAAUGGGUAUGAACAUUUGGAUACAACAAAAUAGAAGGAAAAACUAUAGAAUAUUUAAUUAAACAUCAUUAAAAAAAACAAAAAUAUUUUUAAUGAGAACUCUGUUUUUAUUUUUAUUUUUUUGUUGUUAUCUUUAUCCUUUGUUUCUUAUUCCCAAAUAUUUUUAUAAAAAUACACUACCAACAAAAUCAAAAUUUUAAUAUAAUUAUAUUUUAAGGUUAAUUUCACUCACAUCUCCCCAGGAUUUGGCUAAAUACACUUUAUCUCAUUUGAUUUGAAAUUUCAUUAAAUAGGAGGAGAGGUGACUAAAAAUAAUACUUAUUUUUUAAUAAGAGAUAAGGUGACUGAAAAUAACAAAUGAGAAAAAUAAGGGAGAUAUUUGAUCAAAUUUUAAACCAAUAAGGAUAAAGUGCACUUAACCAAAACUUAUAAGAAAAUGAAUGAAAUUAACCCUUAUCUUUUAAGAAAGUUGAAAAUAUAAAUAAAUUAAUUAAAAUCAAGUGACUUGCUUUAAAGCAAAAUAGGAGUAUCAUAUAAGAAUUUCAUACCAACACUCAUAUCAUGUCAUGUCCAUUCAAAAAUCCUUUUCAUCGCUUGCAGCCCUUUCACACUACAACUCACUGUUGACCCACAAAAACAGACCAAGUUCAUUGCAUUCAUACAGAUGGGUUUUUGGAAAUUUCCCAAAAGUCCCCCAUCAUGGAAAUAAUUCAACACAUGUAGUCAAACUUAUCAAAGCUUAGUCGUUGAAAAGGCAUUACUUAAGUACACAUUUGGACAUAUUUCCUUCUUUUUGUUUUUAAAAUAGAAAAUCAUAAUAAAUAUUAUUUUAAGAAAAAAAUUAAGAUAUAAAAAAAAUACUCUCUUAAAUUUAAAAAAAAUUUAAAAUAAGUUUUAAAAAAUAUAAGAUAAAUCUAUAUUUCUCUACAAAAUAUAUAUAUAAAAAAAAUAAGAUUUUUGGAUUACUUUCUUAAAUAUCAAAGAAAUCUCAAAUAAUUGUUUUAUAAAUCAAUUUUUUUUAUCUUAAAUCAUUAAUGAUAUUAUAAAUACGAGAACCAUUUUUUUAUUAUAUCAUAAGAGUUUUUUUCAAAAAAAUUAUAUAUAUAUUUUUUCUUAUUUCUCACAUUUAUUGGUCGGUCAAGUCACUUGGCACCCAAACCCAAUCCAACACAAACAUGCAAUAUAUUAUUAAUUUUUGGGCUUAAGAGCACAAACAAAAAGACAUUGCUGGGUUCUUAUUUAAUCAUUUCAUAGUUGGAAAACAGGUAAGACUCUUCCUUUAAUGAAUAAAAAAAGAAGUAACAAUUAAUUAACUUAAUGGAAGGAGAGGUUGGAGAGAUUGUGACCCCCAAGCUUAAUCAAAGGGACAAGAGUAAGACAGAAGCAGUUGGCAGUUCAUAAAAUUCUUAAGAAAGGACUUGAGAGAAAAGCAUAGGUUGGUUAUAGAUUUGUAGGCCGCUCAUUGUCUAAACUAUUUAAUGGUAAGAAGGGUUAUUUAAGUACCAUAUUUUAAAUGUUGAAGUUCCAUAAAAUCCUGUUGAAUGUAAACCUAAAAAAUUCUCCCAGUCUAAUAAGAGCUCAUAAGUAAAUGGGAAAAAGGUUAUUUACACCCCUAUUAUUUAUACUUGCAUGUACUAUCACUACUAUGUUUAACUAACAUUACAAUACAUCUAUGCACAAAAUUAAAUGUAUAAUAAAUAAAUAAAUAAGUCUUAAUUUUGGGAAUAUCCACUACUGUUGUUAAUUAACAUAAGCAUGGUUAGGACAUGUUUAAGAACAAAAUUAUUAUAAAUUAGUGAAUAAAAUUGUGGAAAUAGGAAUUGGUUUUCAUUAAAAAAGAAAAAAAAAUAGAAGCUUUGUUUAGGAAGUGUUUUAAUUGGAAAAUAUAUUAUAUAUAAUUUGAGUAUUUAAUGCAGCCAUGGCACACGAAAAUGAAUUUUUUAGGGUGUUGAACCACCUGGAAAGGUCUAGCUCUCUAUUAAGGAAGGUUGAAUUCAACCCAAAUAUUCAUCAGUAGAUCCCAACUUAGAGAAAAUACAGAUCAAUUCUUAAUUUUAUUUUUGGUUAUUUAGGAUAAAUAUUCUCCUUUUUUAUUUUCAAGUGGUCCGAAAUUUACAGUAAGAUUAAAUCUCCUAUAGGGUGUCAGGUUUUGAGGACCUGGUGCAAGAAGAAGAGUCUUCCAAAAUUCAAGCCUUCACAAAAAUCCUUUUCAUCACUAGGUUCACGAAGAUGCCCAAUUGUGAGGAAUAAGAAAUCUCUUAGCUUAAGAUAAAUCUAACCCUUGAAAAGUGGAGUACUCCUAUUUUUUCUAUUCCUAUAACAAAAACCACCGCUCCUCUCGUUCAUUUUUGGAACUUUUUACAGUGGUCCCCUCCAUUUUUGGUAUCUUUAACAAAAAAAAAAAUCCAUGUUGGCCCCCAUUCCAUAUCCGUUUUCUUACCAAAAAACCCUUUUUUCUUUCUGAUAAGCUCACAAUAAAAAAUAUAUAUAUAUAUCAAACACAUCUUCACCAAAUAGAACCCAAACACAUCUAUAACAACAACAACAACGUGAAAACCAAACGGAUUUACAAAAAAAAUUAAAAUUUACGAUAAACUGAAAAACUCAUAAAUCUUACUUGACCAAUGACUUCCAAACUUUGAAUUUGAGCCAAGGAUGCAAAGGAAGGAUGAAACCCUAAAGAGACGAAACCCUAAAGGGAAGAAAGGUAACUGGGAAGGAAGAAAGGUAAUUGGGAAAAUGAAAUUGGGAAAAUGAAUAAACCUAAUCGAGAAAGGGGAAAAAGGUGAAGGAAAAUUAAAGACGUAGUUGGUGACUACGACUUUGACUGUUUUUAAAAAUAAUCAAAGUCGUAGUCACCAACUACAGUUUUAAACUUAAAGUUAAAACUGUGGUUGGUGACUACGGUUUUGAAUGUUUUUAAAAAAUAAAACUGUAGUUACCAACUACGGUUUUAUGACGUGGCAAUCUACGUGGCGCAGACACAUUAGAUUGGACAUUAUUUUAUAAAUGAAGGUACUUUAUGGAUUUUUUUUUUUAAAUGUAAUCUUUUGGGUCAAAGCUCCCAGGUAGCUCAAAAUAUAGAGUUGUAGCAUGAAGUGUCACAAAAUGCUUCAAAUAACCCACACAUGUGGGUUUAUACAGGAAGUACGAAGCUUCUAGAGAUAGAGAUCCCAUAAAACAUUUGUACUUAACUGCAAGGUGAAAGAGUGUGGGAGCUUUUAGAAAAGGUUGGAGAGAUGCAAACAUCUCUACACAUUACAUCUUCGUUAAGAGACCACUCGAAAAAAUAUAAGGUGUUUUAGAAAAGUCAUCUUAUACGUACCUUUCAAUAUAGACUUAUAAGAACUUCUAGAUUAUUUUUAAUUUGUAAAAAAUUCUUCAAGGUUAUAGAAACUUCUUAAGGUGCCUAUAAAUAGGUUAAGGUCUCAUUUGGUCAAUAUACCACUCAAUAACCUAAUCAAUCAAAGAUCUUUCAAGUACUUAUAAAGCUUCCUUGUAAUAAUAAAAACUUUCUAUUCUUUUAAAUGUUGUUUAUAGUUCUCUUAAAUUCCAAAUCGUCUACAUCAAAGAAGAAGGAAGAGAAAAAAACUAAAAAAUAAAAAGGAAAUGAGAAGAGAAGACAGGGGGGUAUGGGUUUCACGUGGGGUACGGAUGAGAGAGAGAGAGAGAGAGAGAGAGAGAGAGAGAGUGGGUAGGGUUGUUGGGUAGGUAUGGGAAAGAGAAGAGAGAAAAAAGAAAGAAAAAAAAAGAAAAAAAAAUAAUAAAAUAAAAUAAUAUACAAAAUAAUAAAAACUAAUAAUUAAAUGAUGAGUGGGUCAAAAAUAUUAAUAAAAGUAAUCAGAAUUUAAUUUUAAGAGUGAAAUUAGGCUAAAAUUAAUAUAAAAAUAAAAUUAUGACAAAUUUUGGGUAUACACCAAUUUGAUUUAAUUAUGAAAAUAUUGGUAAAAAAAGUCUUUUUGUAUUUAAAAUAUUUAGAUAUAAAUUAUAUAUUUUUUAUUUUCUCUCUACGAAAACCUUUUUUACAUAAAAGUCAAAUAAUUAAAGAACAUGGAGUAAUAUAGGAUUGAAGAUUUAGGGGUUUAGGGUUUGAAAAUCAAAUUUCCAAAUAAAAUUUUAAUAUUUAUAUUAGUAUUUCAUAUUCGCAAUUUUUUAUUAUAAAAAAUUGUAAUUUUAUAAAUGUAAUUUGAUUUAUUAAUAGAAAAUGGGGAGUUUGAAAUAUUUAAAUGAGUAAAUCUAAACAAUGAAAUAAAUAAAAAAAUCAUAAAUCUUAGAUGAAAUAAAAUUAAAAGAAAAAGAAAGUGUUGCAUUUAUGGAAAUAUGAUGAAAAAUAAAUAAAUACAUAAAUAAAAUAAAAAUAGCUUGUUAGCAAAUGUCUUUAACAAUGGAAAAAUAAAUAAACAAAUAAUAAAAGAUGCAUUUGCAAUGGAAAGAGGGUCAAUGUCUGCAGUGUUGUGUGUAAAUAUUGAAUAGAUAAAUAGUUGAUGGAAAAUGAAAGAUGAAAAAUAAAAUAAAACAAAACAAAAUAAAAAAUUAGUGCAUUUGUACUGUGGAGAGGAGUGUGUGAUGUGUGUAAUGUUAUGUGUGAAGAUCAGAGAGAGAGUUGUAUGUGAAAUCCGGAGGAUAAGAAAACAAAAGAAAGUGAGGAAAAAACAACCAAGAGAAUGUGUUGAAAAAUGAAAGUGGGGGUAACGUGUUGAAAAAGGAAAAAAAAAACAAAUUAUUUUACAAAAUAAACACUCACGGUAUGUUUGAUUUUUGAAAGUAACAAGGAUGAAAAUACUUUUUAAGUUUUUAAUCCAAAAACCAUGUAAUUGAAAUUAUAUGUAUUAUAUAAUUAAGGAAAAAUACUUCUUAGAAAGUAAUAAUUAAGGAAAAGAAAUGAAAAAUUCUAAGGAGAAUAAUUUCUAUGUUUUUGAUGUCCUGAUAUUGUAGACAAUGAUAAGGACAAAUACUAAGGAAAAAUUGCAGAAAAUGAUAAAAGAUUUUCCUUUUAAAAAAAGAUGGAGAAAGUCCAAAAAAAAAUACAUUCUUUAAUAAAUUUUUCCUUAUAACUUUUGAACUUUUCUUUAGACAACUAAAUUAGAGAAUAAAUUUAUAUAUUUUUUUUCCUUCUAUUUUCUUUCUUUCAAAUGGCUAUGUUAUACUUGGUCCUAGAAAAGAAAAGAAGACAAAGGUUAAGAAUUUUUAUUUUUAUUUUCAUAUUUAGCGUAUCUAAAAAGUGCAAAAGAGAUAAAACAUAAUUAAAAUUAAGUGCACAUGCCCCCCUUGCUCAUAUAAUUUUUCAUCUAUUUUGUUCUAUUUUUUGGUUGUGAUAAAAAUAGUUAUGAAUAAAUAGGAUAGGGUUGUGAUGAAUCACUUCCAACCCGAUACCAUUGUCAUCCCUGCUUGAUCUCAACCCUCUAGCUUAACCUCACUUCUAUUUGGUUAAAAUUUUAGCAUGAUAUUUGUGGUUUGACUUUUACAAUGAAAAAGCAAAGAUGGAGCAAAACUUGUUAACAAGUAUGAAUUUUUAGGAUUUGUAUAUCUCAAAAUGUUACGAUAUUAUGUCUUAUGGUCAUAUGAAUUAUUGGUUAAUUUCAUUGCAAAAAUUUUUUCGUUGUUGAAUUGACUGAAUUAACUCUCUUUUAGCUCCUUCACUAGAGCUACUACCUCCACUCGAAUAAUUCCCUCUCAUCAAUCCAUCCCUCCAGUUAAUAUCAUUGCUGAAUUAACUGACCUCACAGGAAUCCCCUAACAAACUAGUAUGAGUCCAUUUGAAGGCAUCCCUAUCAAAUAAUGGACAUGAAAAUGGUAAGUGUAUCUUUUUCUUUGACAGUUGUUGGAAGCUACAAGUAAAUCUAGUAUUCUAGAAUGAUUAAACAAUUCUAAAUGAUCUUAAGACAUACACACAAGCUAAGCCACUCAAUCAAAUUAAGAAAUAAAACUAGAAAAGAAAAGAAGAAAAACACCCAACCCACUAAGAGGUGGUGUGGGAAGAUUUCGAUGCAUAUUAAACAUUUCUUUAGGUUCUAUUGAGAUAUUAAGAAUGUUUAGAUAUUAGGAAAGUUGAGAUAUUAGGAAUGUUGAGAUAUUAGGAUAUUAGUUGUUCUUUCCUUAUAUCAUUCCUUCAUUGUAUCAUUCUUUCCUAUUCUUAGAAUGGUGAUUACCCAUUAUAUAUACUCUGUACAUGAACGAAUGAAAUAAUAAAUGAAAAACUACCAUUCAUCAAUUUGAACAUGGUAUUAGAGCCAUGGAACUGAAAUCCUCGAUAUUUUGUUAGUAAGGCCAGCUAUCGCCCCUUCUUCGCGAUAAAAAAAAAAAUGAGUGAAAAAAAUACUAUUGUUUUUCAAUCCGAAGGUACUUUUAAUCUAGGAAUUAUCUUGACUGAAUCAAACUAUGACAUUUGGUCACAACUCAUGGAGAUGCAUAUUGCCGAACGGGAAAAACUUUCCUACAUUCGAGGUAAGACAAAUCCACCAAAAAAGUCAGAACAUGGAUAUGAAAAAUGGUAUGCUAAGAAUCAAAAGGUGAAGAGAUGGUUGUUAAUGUCCAUGAGUCCAGAAAUUAUGAAGUGUUACUUACACUUACCCACCGCUCAAGAAAUUUGGAGUGCAUUAUCAAAGGCUUUCUAUGAUGGAAGUGAUGAAUUACAAGUUUUCACUUUGAAUAAAAAAGCCUUCACUGCCAAACAAAGCGACAUGUCUCUUUCUGAAUAUUAUGGAGAGUUAACUGAAUUUUUUUGUGAAUUGGAUCAUCGAGAUAAGGUAGUCAUGAAAGACUCUGAGGACAUUGCAGCAUACCGGAAAUCCAUUGAACUACAAUGGGUGCACAUCUUUCUUACUGGAUUGGAUGGUGACUUUGAGCAAGUUCGAGGAGAGAUUCUACGCAAAGAUCCUCUUCCUGAUUUGGAAGAAUGCUAUGCACUGAUUCGACGAGAGGCAUUGCGUCAUGCUAGUAUGAAAGCAGAAUCUGACAAUCCUAACACCUCAACUAUGGUAGUCCGAUAGCGAUCAACCCAGAAUUGGCAGGACCAAUCCAAGACCAACCAUCUUAAGACAUACCCUAAUAUUAAUAAGUCAACCUUCAAAUGCACUCACUGCAAUAAGACUGGUCAUACCAAGAGUCGUUGCUUUGAAAUUGUGGGAUAUCCAGACUGGUGGGAUCAUAAUCGUGAUCAACGGAAGAAGGAUUCCAAGAAAACCUCAACUGCAGCUGUUGCCAAAAUAAAAACAGAGGCUAAUGUUGCUAAGAAAGCCUCUGCAUUGGUAGUCGCUACAGAUUAUGGUGGUAAGUUUUUAAAUACUUCUACACCUGUUAUUAAUAGUGCAUGGAUAAUUGAUUCUAGUGCUACAGAUCAUAUGACUUUUAAUUCUAGACAGGUCUUACCCCUUAGACCUUCCUCACAAAAAAUUGUUUUCAUAGCCAAUGGUAACACAACCCCAAUAAUUGGGAAAUGACCCAUAACUCUUAUUGAUACUUUGAAUUUGGAUUCUGUUUUACUUGUUCCAUCUUUAGAUUACAAUCUUUUGUCCGUUUCUCAAAUCACUGCAGUCUUAUCUUGUAUUGUAAUUUUUUGGCCUGAAUUUUGUGUUUUUAAGGACAUCCAAACAAGACAAAUGAUUGGUUGUGGUAUUAAGCGGGGAAAAAUCUAUUACUUGGACUUGGAGUCAAAGGAUUCAAAUAAGUUGUGACAAGCCUUGAUGGUAGAUGAAUCUGAGGGGGAGAAGAAAAAGUCUGAAAUUUGGUUGUGGCAUCGACGUCUGGGACAUGCUUCCUUUGGUUAUUUAAAAAAAUUGUUUCCUAGUUUGUUUGCAAAUAGUGAUAUUUUUGGUUUCCGUUGUGAUAUUUGUGAAUUGGCUAAAAGCCAUCGUGCUUCGUUUCCGUUAAUUUUGAAAAAGUCCAUUUCCUUUUAUGGUUAUACAUUCUAAUGUUUGGGGCCCAUCCAAAGUCCCAACUUUGAGUGGUUCGUGUUGGUUUGUUACUUUUAUUGACGAUUGUACUAGAAUGACAUGGUUAUGCUUGAUGAAGACCAAAGAUGAAGUGAACUUGUUGUUUCAAAAAUUUCAUAAAAUGAUUGAAACUCAGUACAAUGCAAAGGUUCGGGUUCUGCGUAGCGAUAAUGGUGGAGAAUAUCAGAGUUCUGAUCUUCAAAAGUAUUUGAAAGGACAUGACAUUAUUCAUCAGACUACUUGUUCCAAUACACCCCAACAAAAUGGAGUCGUUGAACGAAAAAAUCGGCACUUGUUAGAGGUUGUUCGUGCUUCCUUGAUAGCAGCAAAAAUACCGAUAUCUUAUUGGGGAAAAGCAAUCACAUCUGUCGCAUACUUGAUCAAUCGGGUACCUUCCAGCUCAAUUAACUUCCAAACACCUCUCCAAGCUCUUACUAAUGUCGUAGUUGCCCCAACCAUCCUAAAUCUACCUCCUCGUGUUUUUGGUUGCAUGACAUUUGUGCAUCUACACAAACACCAACGCACCAAGUUAACUUCUCGUGCAUUGCAAUGUGUGUUUGUUGGAUAUGCAUUGCACAAAAAGGGAUAUCAAUGUUACCAUCCUCCAACUCGACGAAUGUUAUUAUAAUGGAAGUGCUGUUUCAUAAAGAUUCGAUGUAUUUUUCAUUUGAGUCUGAACUUCAGGGGGAGUACUAGAAGGAAAUUCAGACUCUCGAUUAUGAUUAUCAUAUUUCUAAGGAUGAUGAAUCUGGACAAUCUGAACUAGUGAACUAGGAAGCGAGUGAGUUGGAUAUGAGUGGUACAACUUUGGAAUCAAGUAGUAAUGACCACCCAGAAAUUGAAAAAGUGAUAGAAGAAGGAAGAAACAGUACAAUUAAACCAUCACCACCAUCUGAACAAUUUGGGUCCGAAGAUGUCUUCAUUGAAAUACCAAACCAAUUGUCGUUUGUUGAAGGUGUUCUUAAUUUGGAACCUGAUCCAUUCAUGAAACGGUUACCACACCGUCAUAAUAGAGGUAUUCCUAAAGCCACAUAUGAACUUGAAUUGUCUACCAAAGUCAAAUAUCCCAUGAGAAACUAUGUGUCUAACCAUCGUUUUUCUGAAUCAAAUAAGUCAUUUGUAAAUCAAUUAUCUAUUGUAGCUAUUCCUAACAGUGUGCAGGAAGCCUUAGCUGAUCGAAGGUGGAAAGCAGCCGUGAAUGAAGAGAUGAAAUCAUUGCAGAAGAAUGAAACAUGGGAACUCGUAGAAUGUCCACCAGGAAAAAAGCCAGUUGGGUAUCGUUGGAUCUAUAUUGUGAAGUACAAGGUAGAUGAUAGUAUUGAACGAUUUAAAGUAAGACUGGUAGCAAAAGGGUACACUCAAACUUAUGGAAUUGACUACGCAGAAACAUUUACACCUGUAGCUAAGAUCAACACAGUUCGAGUAUUACUGUCUUUAGCUACAAACCUGGAUUGGCCAUUACAACAGUUCGAUGUGAAAAAUGCCUUUUUGCAUGGCGAGUUAUCUGAAGAAGUAUAUAUGGAUCUUCCUCCAAGAUGCAUGGUGUUAGAAAAGCAAUGUUAGAAGGUGUGCAAAUUGAAGAAGUCAUUGUAUGGGUUGAAGCAAUCCCUGAGAGCAUGGUUUGGAAGGUUCACAAAGUCAAUGAGAGCUUUUGACUAUCAUCAAAGUAAUUCAGAUCACACUUUGUUCCUGAAAAAACAACAUGGCAAGAUUACGAUAGUCAUCGUAUAUGUGGAUGACAUGGUAGUUACAGGAAAUGAUCCUGAAGAAAGAAAAGCUCUGCAAAAUUAUCUAUCUAGAGAAUUCAAAAUGAAAGAUCUAGGUCAUCUGAAAUACUUUCUUGGGAUUGAAGUUUCUUGAUCAAGUGAAGAUAUUUUUUUGUCUCAAAAAAAGUAUGCCUUAGAUCUUUUAUAGGAGAUUGGAAUGUAGGGAUGUCAACCUGUUGAUACACCAAUAGAAGAAGGUUUGAAAUUGUGUAUUAAGCCUAAUCAAGUAUCAACGGAUAAGGGAAGAUACCAGAGACUUAUGGGGAGAUUAAUGUACUUAGCUCAUACAAGACCAGAUCUUGCUUAUGCAUUGAGUGUAGUAAGUCAAUACAUGCAUAAUCCUAGAAAGCAACAUAUGAAUGCAGUCAUGCGUAUUUUGAGGUAUUUGAAGAAUGCUCCUGGGAAGGGAAUUUUGUUCACUAAAAAUGUUGAUCAUUAGAGUAUAGAAGUAUAUAUUGAUGCUGAUUGGGCUGGUGCAGUGAAUGAUAGGCGAUCCACAUCUGGUUACUUUACCUUUGUGGGUGGUAAUCUUGUGACAAGGAAAAGUAAGAAGCAGAAUGUCGUCGCUCGUUCAAGUGCAGAGGAGGAAUUUAGGGGUAUGGCUCUAGGACUUUGUGAGGUAUUAUGGUUAAGACUCCUCUUACAGGAUUUAGGUUACCUAUCUAGGCAACCAAUCCGAUUACUUUGUGACAAUAAAGUCGCAUGUGAUAUUGCUCAUAAUCCAGUACAACAUGAUCGUACAAAGCAUGUUGAGGUGGACAGAUUUUUCAUUAAGGAGAAGUUGAAUGAUAAGAUUGUGGAAUUGCCUAAGAUUCGAUUAGAAGAUCAAUUGGCCGAUAUCCUCACCAAAGCUGCAGUCUUAAGUCGAGUGUUCUCAAAAAUUUUAGACAAGUUGGACAUGUGUGACAUCUAUGCACCAACUUGAGGGGGAGUGUUGAGAUAUUAGGAAUGUUUAGAUAUUAGGAAUAUUGAGAUAUUAAAAUAUUAGUUGUUCUUUCCUUAUAUCAUUCCUUCCUUGUAUCAUUCUUUCCCAUUCUUAGAAUGGUGAUUACCCUCUAUAUAUACUCUAUAUAUGAACGAAUGAAAUAAUCAAUGAAAAACUACUAUUCAUCAAUUUGAACAGGUUCCUUCUUAUCAAGGAUUUUCCUAAUAAUGCUUGUAUACUUUGGCCACAUCUCAUCAUUGGGGCAGCUAGUUGCAGUGGGUUCUCCCUCAUAAGAAGUAUAGUAAUCGUCAUUUCCUCAUUCCAAGCCAUCAAUAUUAGAGCACCCACUCUCAUCGGGUUUCUUCAAGGACAAGAGUUGAAUAGUGAGAAGGAGGAGAGAUAAGAGUUGAAUUAGAACAUUGUCACAUGCUUGUGAUUUAGUACCUCUUCAUUCCUCCACACCCCUUGAUUGCCUUUCCAAAAACAACCAUGGCAGGAUAUUCCAAAUGAAGUGAGGAAGUGAUAAAUAAAAUAGCCACACAUGAUCUGACUCCAUCCUUACAUUAAGAAUAUUCAAAUAAGGGCAGGCAUCCUUGGCAGCGUCCUUUUGAUAAGAUACCAAAACCAUCGAGUUUUGGGGCAAAAUAGUCAUUUCUUGUAAAAUAAAAAUAAAAAUUAUAAGUUUUAACCUCAUUACAAAACUUAUGUUCAAAGUAGCCUUUUUGUUUACCACUAAGACAUAAAUUUUUUUUUUGCAAGAUUUAAGCUCAAUUGGUAUUGAGACUUCAUUUUUGAACUAAAACCUCAAUUGUCAAUUGAAACUUCAUUUUUUAAUUAAAGUCUCAAUUAGUAAUUAAGGUUUCAUUUUUUAACUGAAAUCCCAAUUGCCAAUUGGGAUUUAAUUUUUUUUUUUUAACUUUAACAUUUAAUUAAAAAUAUAAAAUUAUAAAUUAUUGUUGAAAUUAAAAAUAUAUACCUUAAUAAUAAAAUUUUUAUAUAUUUAAACUUAAUGAUUUAAUAUUAUUUCAAAAAAGAUAAAUUAAUAAGUAUAAUAAUAAAUAAAUAUUUUAUUUAUUAAUAAAUUAAUGAACGUAAAAUCAUAAAGUUAUAUGAUAUAUAAAUAAAAUAUAAAAUUAUAUAAUUUAUUAAUUUAAGAUAUUUAAUUUGUUGUAUUUUAAAGAUAUUAGUUUAUUUGUAUUCUAUUGAAAUAAUAGUAUUAUCUUAAAUUUUCAUAUAUAGAUUUUUCAUUAUUUUAAAACAUAUGUUUAUAAUUUUAUGUAAAAAAAAAAAGGCCUUGAAAAUACAUUUCAAAAUUAGUUAAUAAAAUUAAUUAAAAAAAGUCUACUAUAAAAUGUAACUUUUAAUAGUUUCAUCAAAGUCACAAUAAAAAGCCUAAUAAACAUUUAUAUAGUAAAAAAAAAAAAAAAAAAAAGUCUUUCUCUAAUUGUAAUAGGUACUACAUGUGAUAUAACUUAAAUUAAUAGAUUAUAUAAUUUUAUAUUUUAAAAAUAUUUUAAAUUAUCUUUAUUGAAAUAAUAUUAGAUCUUAUAAUUUUUUUUAUUAUUAAAAUAUAUAUUUUUAAUUAAAUUUUAAAGAAAAAAUAAAUAAAUAAAGCCUCAAUUCCCAAUUGGGGCUUCAAUUUAAAUUUAGAAGAAAAAAAAAAAUUAUGCCAUGGUGUUAAUAAAAGGACUACUUUGAAAAUAAAUUUUGCAUGGGGACAAAUUAUAUUCUUUUAGAAGAAAAGACAAUUUUGUCCCAAAACUCUGCCAUAAUAAUUUCCAGCAAAUCAGAAUCAGUGCACUGCAAGAAUAAUUUCCAGUUCCAGCAAACCAGAAUCGGCACUGCCAAAGUAAUUUGUUCCCAGCACCUGUAUAUAUUACUAUUGCAGAAAAUAAAUCAAAAGUGUGAAUCCUUCUCAGUUAUUUUAUUCGUUCGUCUAAUAUUUUCAGCAAAAUUCUUCAUCCUUGAAUAACGAACAACUCACCAAGAGAUGUUAUGGGAAGAUUUGGGUGCAUAUCACGCAUUUUCCUGGCCGGUUCCUCCUCGUCAAGGGAUGUCCUGAAAAUGGCUGCAUUUCAAGCGUUUCUGUGGCUGCAUCUCUGAUUCAGACGGAUCCUUAGAGCAAGCAGUUUCAGCUGGUUCCCCCUCGUCAGCAGUAUAGUACCCAGAAUUAUCCAAUUCCGAGCCAUCAACACUUCCACUGGGUUCCUCAUCAUGGAUUUCUGUAAGGACAACUGUUGACUUAUUAGGAGGAGGAGAGGAAGCAGAGGAAAUAGAGCCGAAUUGGAUCAUUGGGGGGUUGUUGUGAUUCACAUCUUCAUUACUGUACGCCAGACCAAUUCCAUACCGCUUAACUUCACCAAAUUGGUCAGAACGUGGCUGGAACGAUGCCUUGAUAUGAGUCACUUGAUGCCAAUUGAUGAUGUGACCCCAUGGACACCAAUCGCUGAAGGAAGAAAGUGGUACAUAAAGCAGGUAUACGUGAUCCAAAGUUAGCAUCUGACGAUUUAAACACAAAAAAUGCGGAUAAGGAACGACUCGGAAGCCGUGAGUAAAGUCACUGGAUCUUGAAAGGGACAAGUAACAGUAUACAAAGCGUGACAAACCAAGGUUACUAAACUUGGGAACGACGUUUGCAAACCCAAAACCCAGGAAGUUGGAAUUAAACCAAUUUGGAGAUAGCUCUGCUAUUACUUCCUUCCCUGAGCUCUGAUACCUUAUCCAAUCUGGUAGUCUACUCCCAGGAGUCAAUAUUUCUAAUGCCAAAACGAAGUUUAGAUCCUGUAGAAUGAAAAUGAUCAGGGGUUGAGAGAUAGAAAUUGCUCAUUUCCUAUCUUCCUUCAUUAAACAUUUAUUUUGCCUCUAUCACAAAUUAAGUUAAAUGAGGUAUCAUUUGAAUACACUUUCUUUUCUCAACCUAAAUCCUAACUUCUACAAAACAGGCAUAUUUUCUAAACUGAUAACAAAAAGUAAAAAAAUUGAGGAAACAUGAGAAAUUGCGUCCAUGCAUUUCAUACUUUAAGAUGAGUACAGUUAUGAUAUACAAAAUAAACAUUUUCUAUAAUUAAAAUUGUGAUAUAUGGGAUAUAGAGGAAAUUUACCCAGAUUACGCGAUUCUUUAGAAGGAAUGACUGGACAUUUCGAAGCGAGACAUUUUUCAAUGACGUGCAAUUUCUUGCAUCCACUUGAACAAUGCUUGAUGGGAGAUCUGGCAGUUCUUGAAGUCUUGUGCAAUUUGCCAACCGAAAACGUUCCAAGCGUGAAAGUCGACUGAGGUUUGGCAACGUAACAAAGUUGUUCUCACAUAAAUAUAAAUCUUUCAACGAAGAUAAGUAAACAAGACAACUAAGGUUUGUUUCAUCUGACAAAUUGCAGUCACUUAGGUCUAGCUUUCUUAAAGAGCAUAAGCCUGACAAAUUAUGCAAUAUGAAACCAGUGGAAUUGGAACUUCUUCUUGGAAACAACCAUGAGGCAGAUGGUGGUCCCUUACAUCCCACAAAAGAUAAUAUCUCAAGGUUUCUCAACGAAGACAAAGAGGAGGGUAGUUCUCUUAGUGCAGUUCCAUCUGCAUAAAGUUUCUUUAACAUUUCUAAGUACCCAAAGUUCUCCGGAAAUUGUUCAAAUUUUGAGCAGCCAGAAAGAAUC